rnacentral:lncRNA from 10 species
AGGCAGGAGGUGAAGGAGAUGGCACAGGCAGAGGUACAGAGUGGUGACUGAAACCACACGCCAUGUUGGGAGACUUCCAAACAAGUCUAGAGAGUUGGCACUUAGGGAUGAAGAAAUCAUCUUCUGGGUACACUUGGUCUUUCCUGAUGACGCUUUUAAGAGAAAGGCAGAGUUGACCCUGGGCUUUCAAAAAACUGUUCUUUCAGGCAAAACCUCAGAGAGAACUGGCUGCUAGUGAUCCUCUGCAGAGACCUUGAAGAGCACGGCAAUUAUGAAACUUCAACAAGAAAAGAUUUAAGCUGAUCUUUUAAAAAAAUAUAUACUGUCAGGAAUUUUGUAGAAAUGACUUUAAUGUAAUAACUGCUUCUUUGACUUAUGUUUUGUCUUGUGGUGAAAAGAAAAAUAUUUAUAAAAGCAUGCCUGUGUCCUAAAAUUGGGGACACAAACUUAAAUGACUGAAGGCACUUGAGGAGUGGAGGCAAGGAUGGUGAAACCAGGCCCUGUACCAAGCAGGAGAGCGUGAACCUGCUAAAGAGAGUGACUGCUUCUCAUUUCCAGUCAAUGCGACUGGUGUCGCAUUCCAGUCAAAUGGAGUUGCGACACCAUUUCAGCCACAGCGAUUGAUCUGGAUUUUCUGUAAAAUUCCCUGAUUUUUACAUAUUGCCAAUUAAUUAAUUAAUUAAAAAGAAAUGUAGAUGUUCAUUGAAUUCAUGGUUUUAUGGCCUUAAUCAUCUAGCAGAUACAAUACAAACCUAUUUGACCAACAAACCCAGAAGUAACCUGGCCAGGCGCAGUGGCAUACACCUGUAAUUCCAACACAGUGGGAGGAUCUCUUGAUGCCAAGAGUGCAAGACCAGCCUGGGCAACAUGGUCAGUGGCCCGGACAAUGCUUUUGAUGAACAGAUGAUGAGUGACAAUGCAAGAUGAACUGUGACAAGGAUCCCGUGGGUUGUCAAAUGAGUUAAGAGGAAGGAAAAAUUCCUUUGGGUUGCCGAGGCCAAGACAAGCUUCAUUUCAAGCUUAGUCUUGAAGAUGAGUGGGAUUAAGAUAAAAAAUAAAGAAUGGAAAUGAGCAUGAACAAAAACGUGAUGGUGAAAGCAUAUUUGCUAUUUUCAAAAGCCAGGAGCAGUGCUAUCAGUGACAGGCAAACAGGCCUGGAAAAGAAGGUACCAAGACAAGGAUAUCUUCAAAAUACAGGCUUGAGCACUUAAUCUAAAGCCAGAAAAAAACAUUGGCUUCAACUGUCCAUCAAACUCUAUUAAAUAUAAGAAAGUUUCCUAAAUAUAUCAUUUUUCCCUGUUAGAAUUCAUUGUCUCUACUGAUUUCAAAAUCAGCAAAUAUUUAUUGUAAAAAAGAAAGAAAAAAUACUUGUUAAAAUCUAUUUCUAUAAAAACUACUGCUACUGGUUUCUCCCUAAAUGCUCGGCAGUGAGCAAAGAAAGAUACUGUUAACAUUUAGUAGCUGCUGCGGUCACCUUGGCAUAAUCGAGUGAACACAGACUUUAAUGGCAGUUUAAUUAGAUUUACCACGGGGAAGAUGUCACACAGGAGAUGCGAUGCUUCUGUAUUUAGAAACCUAUAUGA